rnacentral:sRNA from 12 species
GCACGUCCCGCACCUUUUCCAGUGCGGCAGCUAACAGCAAGGCGGUGGGCGGCUGGUGAUUUCAGUGCAUAACAUUGGCAUACACUCUUUCUCAAGCUCCGUGCGGAUUGUUUUUCCCGCAUUGUGAACUUUACUCCGGCUGCAACUGGGCAGACUUAUGGCACUAUUUUUUCACUACCUUGUUUCCAUACAACUCACGCUCCCAAAUUAUUGCGUUUUGUGUAUGCGGUCAAAGUACACGUACUUUGCCGUUCCUACUUGCUACAUUGGUUUGUAGUUCCGUGCGGUGUGGUUGUUUAACACCCUCUUUAAUCGCUCCAAAGCGAACGGACGUUUUUUGCUUUUCCAGAGUGCAAAAAAAUGUUUCCAAUAAAAAAACUCUUUUGUUU